rnacentral:rRNA from 1 species
UACAGAGGUCUCAAGCGUUGUUCGGAUUCAUUGGGCGUAAAGGGUGCGUAGGUGGCGCGCUAAGUCAGGUGUGAAAUUUCGGGGCUUAACUCCGAAACUGCAUUUGAUACUGGCGUGCUUGAGGACUGGAGAGGAGACUGGAAUUCACGGUGUAGCAGUGAAAUGCGUAGAUAUCGUGAGGAAGACCAGUGGCGAAGGCGGGGCUCUGGACAGUUCCUGACACUGAGGCACGAAGGCCAGGGGAGCAAACGGG